AUAAAAGGAUAUGUCCUCUGCUAACUAGCAGGCUUGUAUUUUCAAAAGGUGCCAAACUUCCAUAGGCAGUUUGAAAAAAAUCACAACCUCUAUUCAUCAUGGCAAUUUCCCCCCCCCCUCAGACUCAGAGCGUAUCUAAAGGAGGAGGAUGAUACAAGAAGAAGCAAUUAGUUGACAUUUCAUAAAGCUGUCCCCCAAGAAUAAUCCUCAGGCAUCAGCAACACCAAAGCCUGACAAGACCUUGGCAACGGGCAUGUCUGGGUGCACUCGAGGCGCAGCUCUUUGCACAGAUUGUCAGGACCACAAUUAGGACUCCUACCAGGAAAGUAACCAGAGGCCAGAGAAAGCAAUGCAAGAGGACCGUCUCAUCGUGGGUACGCCUAAGAAGCACAUCAUCUGGUCUGUAAAGGAGGGAGGAAAGAGAGGAGGAAUACAUUAUAUAUAUAUAUCAAACAGGCAUCAAUUCAUCCUUCAAUGGAAGGCAUUUGACCAGGAAACAAUAAUGGCAUUUUAUUUGUAACAGUAGUAGAAAAUGAU